rnacentral:lncRNA from 1 species
AUGGCGAGGCAGGAACUGCGGCCAGAUUCCUGCCUUGCUCUGAUUUUCCAGUCUCUGAGAAAAACCAACCUGACCACAGCUGUCUUUGGCUAUUUGUGUACUCUCGGGAUAAGGCAGGUGUCUUCCAGGAUAUACCCACAGAAGACGGGAGCCUGCAGGAGGAGCAAGGCGGCAGAGCUGCCGGGCACGGGUGGCAAGACUUUGGAAGUGACCGUAGUGGGAGCACCAACACUCUCCAUGGAUCGCCCCCCAUGGAUCCCCCCACGGUAUGACCCCAGCCUGCGGAACUCAGACGACUGGGCUGCUUGUCCCAGGGGCAGCGCCGGUGGGUGUGCCACAGUCAAACACUUGGGGUGGGAGGAAAAGGUUUUCCUAAGGAGGCCAGAGGUGAAAGCCUCCAGGAAGCGGCUGUCGGCGGGAGAGGCGGGGAAGCAGCUAGAAGGGCUUACCUACCCUAUUUCUCUUUUCUCCAUCCCCUUCAGUUCUGGAAACAUUCGUGUUCUGUGUUCAGCUCAAAAAUGCCCUUUCCCACAUUAAUCCCCCCCCCCGCCCCAUUUAUCCCCAGGCCGUGGCUCCGUCUGUGGCUCAGUCCGUGGCUGGCGCGUGAGCUGGGGGACCAAGGAACCUGCGGAGGGGAGGCGGGUCCUCCUCCCAGCGGCACCUCCAAGCCCAGGGUGCUCCCAGGGCCAGGUGACCACCCGUGGCCACACCAGCAAGGCCUGGCCCUCACCCACCCCCCGCAGCGGUGUAUUGGGGAAGAGGCUCUUUGAAGACGGGGAGAUGCUUGAGCUCCGCUGGCUGCUGAUGCCGAAAUAGCUCCGCGGGGGAACGUUCCUGGG